UACGAAGGGGGGCUAGCGUUGUUCGGAAUUACUGGGCGUAAAGCGCGUGUAGGCGGUUGUCCAAGUUGGAUGUGAAAGCCUUGAGCUCAACUCAAGAAAUGCAUUCAGGACUGGAUGACUAGAGGACCGGAGAGGAUAGUGGAAUUCCCAGUGUAGUGGUGAAAUACGUAGAGAUUGGGAAGAACACCAGUGGCGAAGGCGGCUAUCUGGACGGUUUCUGACGCUAAGACGCGAAAGCGUGGGGAGCAAACAGG
rnacentral:rRNA from 1 species